UGAAAAUGUGAACGAAUUUAUGCGUAAAUAGGAGCUUAUUGAUGCAGCUGAAGCAAGUGGACUUUCUCAUAUGCCAAUUAUGUAUGUUCUGUAAUUUCUUUCUCAUUUGUGUUUAUAAUUGUGAUGUUCUGAGACCUGGUUUGUUCUUAGGUCAGAGAAGGGAAAGGGAAAACUUGGACACUUUGCGAGUUCUAAAAGGAAUGGUAUAGUGGAUGGUCCCACAUGACAAC
rnacentral:lncRNA from 1 species